GGCUGCUCCUAGUACGAGAGGACCGGAGUGGACGCAUCACUGGUGUUCGGGUUGUCAUGCCAAUGGCACUGCCCGGUAGCUAAAUGCGGAAGAGAUAAGUGCUGAAAGCAUCUAAGCACGAAACUUGCCCCGAGAUGAGUUCUCCCUGAGACUUUAAGUCUCCUGAAGGAACGUUGAAGACGACGACGUUGAUAGGCCGGGUGUGUAAGCGCAGCGAUGCGUUGAGCUAACCGGUACUAAUGAACCGUGAGGCUUAACCUUACAACGCCGAAG
rnacentral:rRNA from 3 species